rnacentral:rRNA from 1 species
UAGUCCACGCCGUAAACGAUGGGUACUAGAUUUGGUGGGACUUGACCCCUGCCGAGUCGUAGCUAACGCGCUAAGUACCCCGCCUGGGGAGUACGGUCGCAAGACUAAAACUCAAAGGAAUUGACGGGGACCCGCACAAGCGGUGGAUCAUGUGGUUUAAUUCGAAGCAACGCGAAGAACCUUACCUGGGUUUGACAUCCCCGGACAACUCUAGAGAUAGAGCUUUCUACUUCGGUAGACCGGGUGACAGAUGCUGCAUGGCUGUCGUCAGCUCGUGUGGUGACAUGUUGGGUUAAGUCCCGCAACGAGCGCAACCCCUGUCGUUAGUUGCCAGCAUUCAGUUGGGCACUCUAGCGAGACUGCCGUGGUUAACACGGAGGAAGGUGGGGAUGACGUCAAGUCCUCAUGGCUCUUACGCCCAGGGGCUACACACGUGAUACAAUGGCCGGUACAAAGGGGUUGCGAAAGCGCGAGCUCAAGCUAAUCCCAAAAAGCCGGGUACUCAGUUCGGGAUUGAAGUCUGCAA